UACGGGGGGGGUAAGCGUUGUUCGGAAUUACUGGGCGUAAAGGGCUCGUAGGCGGCCAACUAAGUCAGACGUGAAAUCCCUCAGCUUAACUGGGGAACUGCGUCUGAUACUGGAUGGCUUGGAUUCGGGAGAGGGAUGCGGAAUUCCAGGUGUAGCGGUGAAAUGCGUAGAUAUCUGGAGGAACACCGGUGGCGAAGGCGGCAUCCUGGACCAAUAUUGACGCUGAGGAGCGAAAGCCAGGGGAGCAAACGGG
rnacentral:rRNA from 1 species